rnacentral:lncRNA from 1 species
AGCAAUGCAAUGGGUUUGCAGUUGGAAUAUGGCUUAUUGAAGACUGAAUGGAGUCCCUGCAACUUCCAGGAAGAAGACUGUGUAUUCCAGUAGCAUUUCAACAAAACAACAGGAGCAGCAGCAGCAGCAGUAACUGCAACAACAACAACAACAACAACAACAACAACAACAACAACAAUGAAUUGAAAAUCAAGCCAAGAACACCACAAGAAGAGCCACAGAGUCAAGAACCUGAGACCAUGAAUGGGGGCUCACAGAGCUUGGGCCACCAACCGGGGAGCACACAAUAGCUAGAAAUAGAUGCUCUAUACAUUUGUAGCAAACAUACAGCUUGCCUUUUAGGUGGGGCCCCUAACAAAUGGAGCAGAGGUUGUCUUCAUCCCUGUUCCCUGCCAUUGGAUGCCCUUCCCCUGACCUAGGCUGCCUGGUUGGGCCUCAGUGGGAGAGGGUGCCUAUUGCUUCUGGGACUAGAUGCCCCAGGGUGGGGUGGUACCCAAGGGGAGCUUCGGAGGAGGGACUUUUAAGGGUGGGCCUGGGAAGACCAGAGGGAAGGUAGCUGUGAUUGGGAUGUAAAGUGAAUAAAUAAAAAAUAAAAAUAAAAAACAGAUGAAAAUCAAAACCAGGAAAACUGUCCACAUUUCCUUGAAAUGCUGUACCCAUCUCCUUUCUGUUAAACUAGUAUGGAAACCUUAACCUCUGGGCAUUCAGUGAGCAAUUCCAAUGCAAGUGUGAAUAUUUGUCUUUUCUCUUGCUAAUCAAUUACCAGUUAAUUUGAAGGUCUGCUUCUGGAGUCAAAUCUUAAUGGAUAGAGUAAAAGUUCAUUCUUCUAAUAACUGAAAAGUCAAAUCUCAAGUGCUAGCUCACAGUUUUAUGAUGAACAUCAGUCUUUAAGCAAUAUCCUCUGACAGACUAAAUGUAUGCAUAGUUUUGUUUGAGAACCAAAAUAAUGUUGAUAAAUUUCAAUUGUUAGGGACAACACAGUAAAUAUUUUAGACUUGGGGGGUUAUAUGGUGUCUCUUGCCAUGCUUAAUUGUGCUCUUGUGGUAUAGGAGCAUCCGUCAGUAUCCAUCAGUAACACUUACAUAAGCAAGUAUGGCUAUAUUUCAAUAAAGUUUUAUUGGUAGAUACUGAAGUUUCAUAAACUUUUCAUUUUUUUUUAAUUACUAAAUAUUUUCCUCAGAACUCCUUAAUUUGUUUGGUAUAUAAAAACUGAUAGCUGGCUAGACUUGGUGUGGGCCAUAGCUUGUUGACUAUUUAUCUAGACCAUUAUGCCCAGCCUUUUUUACUUUAUAGAACACAUGGAGAAUGAUGCUUGAACCACAUGCUGGGGUAAAUGACCAUGGACACUCAUGGUGGAGUUGGAUUUGAUGGAUUGUUAGCUGGUAGACCUUUGACUGUAUUGAGAGCUGAGACCACUGAAAAACAUGUAAUUUAUUCACUAGUUUACAAGCUACUGAUAUGGAAUCCUAGACAGUCUUCCCAUCUUCUAUCUCAGUACAUGACACGAUGCAGACUAUUUGAAGACCCUUUGAAUAUUCUAGAGAUAAGCUGACUAUUGUCUGAGCACUCAUUUCUCAAAAAAAUGCAGGAAACCAUGACUAAAUUAUACAUAGAUAAUUAUACUAGAGUUUAUACUGGUUGAAGAGAAAGCCAUAUUUUGUCAGAAAGUGCUAUCCUGGGUCCUCAAGUCCCAUCAGUGGUAGCCAGCAAAGUUGUUCAACCCUCGGUACCUCUGGUUCAUUCUGUCCUGGACAUCUCUGUAUAUACUGGGGAUUAUAAGAAAUCAUGAUGUUUUAAUUGCUGGGCUAUUUGCAAUGAUUUUUUUUACAGCCUUACUUAAAGAUCAAGAAUGGCUUAAAGACUAAAAAGAGAUAUGGAUAAUUUAAAAUUUGAUAUUCUAGGUUAUAAUGCUCUAUUUCAUAAUCUCACAACUAAGUAUAAGUUAAUAAGUUUAUAGAUACUAUAUCUAAGUCAACUGUAUAGUAUUCUUCUGAAUAGGUCUAUAUGGAACUGUGACUCCUCAGCUUCAUAUGUUGAAAUCUUACUCUUUAGUGCCUAGUGCCUCCAAAUGGCUGGAAUUGAACAUAU